rnacentral:piRNA from 1 species
GUAGAAUUACUAAAGGACCUUUU